GAGCCAAGAGAAGUUCAUAUGUUUGUUGACUUAUUUCUUCAGGAGUUGGAAACAAUAGGUUCUGAGGUGAAGCAGGUUUUAUCACAAGGAGUUCUUCGCAAGCAUCGUCGCUCUGAAAGCAAUGGUAGCACUGCAUCCUCUCGCAGCAAUCCAUUGCGAGAUGAUAAAAUGAGUCGGACAAAUACUCAAAGGGCCAGGAGCCAGCUUCUGGAAAC
rnacentral:misc_RNA from 1 species